AUGCAAGACUGCUUCGCGGAGAAUCUAACGUAUCCACCGUACCUCUUCCGGAGAAGGUACCGAAUGCACCGAUCCCUCUUUGUAAAAAUUGUUCAAGCUUGCGAGGCAAAUUGCCGGUAUUUUACUCAAAGAAGAAAUGAUGCGGGCUUAAAGGGAUUUAGUGCAUAUCAAAAAAUCUCUGCGGCAAUGCGGGUGAUUGCAUAUGGUGUUCCGGCUGACUAUGCCGAUGAGUACCUUCGUAUUGGUGAAGAUACAACAAUUGAGUCUGUGCGUAGAUUUGUAAAAGGUGAUCAUCCGUGUCUUUGGUCUUGA
rnacentral:rRNA from 1 species